rnacentral:lncRNA from 1 species
AUAAAAAUAUACCGAAUAAUUUACCAGACCAGACCACUGUUGCCUGAACCUGCAGGGCUUUAUACCGAAUAAUUUACCAGACCAGACCACUGUUGCCGAACCUGCAGGGCUUUUGCCACUGUCUGACGGACGGCGCCUAGGCUUUCCUUGGAGCUCCAUAGCCCAACCACGCACGGCUUUCGCCGUGUCUAACAGGCAGGCUUUUACCAGACCAGGAAAUGGUACCAAUACCAAAUAAUAAAGCACCGUCUCUUACCAAUGCCGUUGGUCCGUCGAGAGCACCGGAGGUCGGUCGCGGUCGAUGGCUCCCCGAGAAUCACUCGGUGCCAGCUGGAGCUGGAUCGAUGCGCGAGCCGCCUCAGCAAUGCUCGCGAGGUCCCAUCUGGGUCGCCAAAACUGUUAGCCGAGAGAAGAACACAUAACCACUCUAAGGAGGUUAUAUGUGGUGCUUUAUUCCGAGGCCCCGGGAACCAGGGGUACGCACCCAAAUCUGGUUCCAAAGACCAUCACAACGUGUUCACAAUUUAUGCUGUAAAGUAUUACAUAUGCAUCACCUUUCCCAAUAUGCUGAUACAUAUUCAUGACCUAUCCCCGCUUCGUAUUAUAAUGAGUACAAAAGUCAUUUCCAUAUGUUCUGCCCUUGCGCAGUGCCUCCUGGUGGUCGCGGGCAGGGGUCUCAAGAUGAAGUAAGUAGUCUUCCUCAGAUGAAGUAAGACGUCUUCCUUGCUGUGUACUUUUCACCUUUCGAGUCCUGGAUAGGUUCCAACGAUGGUGCUUGCACCAGCAUUCUCCUUAUCUCUCUCUGACUGGUACUGGUAUGCAUCUUCGUUUCUUAUCUUAAAAGUUCUGCUUUGAAGUAAUCUGAGGAGUACUGUUUCGCUUGGAUAGUCUCAUAUAUCUAUGUCCACAUCCUAGUUACCAAACUUCUCUGGCUUAGCAACAGGCUUAACGGAACACAAAUCAAGCAAAUCACAAGUCUAAAUACUCUAUAUAUCUAACACCCUGACAUGGCUCCGGCUGCCUCACGCCUGUGAGGUUCCUCCGAUGGUUCCGUCGGGUCCAUCUCCGCCGCAAUCCCCACAGGCCUGGGGGGCGGCACAC